rnacentral:rRNA from 1 species
CCUACGGGGGGCAGCAGUGAGGAAUAUUGGUCAAUGGACGAGAGUCUGAACCAGCCAAGUAGCGUGAAGGAUGACUGCCCUAUGGGUUGUAAACUUCUUUUAUAUGGGAAUAAAAUGUUCCACGUGUGGGAUUUUGUAUGUACCAUAUGAAUAAGGAUCGGCUAACUCCGUGCCAGCAGCCGCAGUAAUACGGAGGAUCCGAGCGUUAUCCGGAUUUAUUGGGUUUAAAGGGAGCGUAGGUGGAUUGUUAAGUCAGUUGUGAAAGUUUGCGGCUCAACCGUAAAAUUGCAGUUGAAACUGGCAGUCUUGAGUACAGUAGAGGUGGGCGGAAUUCGUGGUGUAGCGGUGAAAUGCUUAGAUAUCACGAAGAACUCCGAUUGCGAAGGCAGUUCACUGGACUGCAACUGACACUGAGGCUCGAAAGUGUGGGUAUCAAACAGGAUUAGAUACCCCUGUAGUC